CUGCUGCCUCCCGUAGGAGUAUGGACCGUGUCUCAGUUCCAUUGUGGCCGAUCAGUCUCUCAACUCGGCUAUGCAUCAUCGCCUUGGUAAGCCGUUACCUUACCAACUAGCUAAUGCACCGCAGGUCCAUCCCAGAGUGAUAGCCAAAGCCAUCUUUCAAAUAAAAAGCCAUGCGGCUUUUAUUGUUAUGCGGUAUUAGCAUCUGUUUCCAAAUGUUAUCCCCCGCUCCGGGGCAGGUUACCUA
rnacentral:rRNA from 1 species